rnacentral:rRNA from 1 species
GACGAACGCUGGCGGCGUGCUUAACACAUGCAAGUCGAACGGAAAGGCCCUGCUUUUGUGGGGUGCUCGAGUGGCGAACGGGUGAGUAACACGUGAGUAACCUGCCCUUGACUUUGGGAUAACUUCAGGAAACUGGGGCUAAUACCGGAUAGGAGCUCCUGCUGCAUGGUGGGGGUUGGAAAGUUUCGGCGGUUGGGGAUGGACUCGCGGCUUAUCAGCUUGUUGGUGGGGUAGUGGCUUACCAAGGCUUUGACGGGUAGCCGGCCUGAGAGGGUGACCGGCCACAUUGGGACUGAGAGAGGGCACAGACUCCUACGGGAGGCAGCAGUGGGGAGUAUUGCACAAUGGGCGGAAGCCUGAUGCAGCAGCGCCGCGUGCGGGAUGACGGCCUUCGGGUUGUAAACCGCUUUCGCCUGUGACGAAGCGUGAGUGACGGUAAUGGGUAAAGAAGCACCGGCUAACUACGUG